rnacentral:rRNA from 1 species
UCAAUAAGCGGAGGAAAAGAAACUAACAAGGAUUCCCCUAGUAACGGCGAGUGAAGAGGGAAGAGCCCAAGAUUGAAAGCUGGCGUCUUCGGCGUCCGCAUUGUAAUCUCAAGAAGUGUUUUCCGCUUCGGACCAAGCCUAAGUCCCUUGGAAAAGGGCAUCAUAGAGGGUGAUAAUCCCGUAUCUGGCUUGGAGCGCCCGAAGCUUUGUGAUACGCUUUCUAAGAGUCGAGUUGUUUGGGAAUGCAGCUCAAAAUGGGUGGUAAAUGCCAUCUAAGGCUAAAUAUUGGGGAGAGACCGAUAGCGAACAAGUACAGUGAUGGAAAGAUGAAAAGAACUUUGAAAAGAGAGUUAAACAGUACGUGAAAUUGCCAAAAGGGAAGGGUAGGAGGUCAGAGAUGUGGCCUGGGAUUCAGCCUUGCUUUUGCUCGGUGUUUUUCCCAGAUUGCAGGCCAACGUCGGUUUUGGGCACUGGAGAAGGGUAGGAGGAACGUGGCACCCCUCGGGGUGUGUUAUAGCCUCCUACUGGAUACAGCGACCGAGACCGAGGACAGCAGCGUACUCGCAAGAGCGGGCCUUCGGGCACCUUUACGCUUAGGGCGUUGGCAUAAUGGCCCUCUACCACCCGUCUUGAAACA